rnacentral:rRNA from 1 species
AUUGAACGCUGGCGGCAUGCCUUACACAUGCAAGUCGAGCGGCAGCACGGGGGCAACCCUGGUGGCGAGUGGCGAACGGGUGAGUAACAUAUCGGAACGUGCCCUGGAGUGGGGGAUAACUAGUCGAAAGACUAGCUAAUACCGCAUACGAUCUACGGAUGAAAGUGGGGGAUCGCAAGACCUCAUGCCCGUGGAGCGGCCGAUAUCUGAUUAGCAGUUGGUGGGGUAAAGGCCUACCAAGGCAUCGAUCAGUAGCUGGCCUGAGAGGACGACCAGCCACACUGGGACUGAGACACGGCCCAGACUCCUACGGGAGGCAGCAGUGGGGAAUUUUGGACAAUGGGCGCAAGCCUGAUCCAGCAAUGCCGCGU